UUACGGGAGGCAGCAGUCGGGAAUUUUGGGCAAUGGGGGAAACCCUGACCCAGCAACGCCGCGUGAGUGAAGAAGGCCUUCGGGUUGUAAAGCUCUGUUGCCCGGGACGAACGGGCGGGUUGGAAGCCCGCUGUGACGGUACCGGGUGAGGAAGCCCCGGCUAACUACGUGCCAGCAGCCGCGGUAAUACGUAGGGGGCGAGCGUUGUCCGGAGUUAUUGGGCGUAAAGGGCGCGUAGGCGGCCUGGUAAGUCUGAGGUGAAACGCCGCAGCUCAACUGCGGACUUGCCUUGGAAACUGUCGGGCUUGAGGUGAUCAGAGGAGUGCGGAAUUCCCGGUGUAGCGGUGAAAUGCGUAGAGAUCGGGAGGAACACCAGUGGCGAAGGCGGCACUCUGGGAUCAAUCUGACGCUGAGGCGCGAAAGCUAGGGGAGCAAACGGGAUUAGAUACCCCGGU
rnacentral:rRNA from 1 species